rnacentral:ncRNA from 13 species
UAACAAGGUUCGGAGAGACCCGAUGAUCUCUUUCGUGGAGUAUAUAUCCUACCGAAGCCUUAGCCGCCCGAAAGGGUGACCCCCGCGACGUUUACUAAAACAAGGAGGGGUCCGAAAGUGCUAGUGUUCGGACUCGUUGACCGAAUGCGACAUCGUCAAACUGCGGGAGAUCCCUAAAGCUUUGACUACCAAGCACCUGGCCGAAAGGUCGGUGUGGCCAGGGUAAUGACCUCGGGUAUGGUGACAACGUCAAAGAUGCCACAAUGGGUGAUCCGCAGCCAAGUCCCCUGGAGAAGCGACUUCAUGAUUCUUGCCCAUGACAUGUCGGAGCGGACAGUAUUUUGAACCCAGAGCGCCAUUUUUUUGAUGUCAGACAAAAAUACGGUGGCCGCUCGCGUCCCUCCUCAUGUCGAGUCGCUCCUCCGAGGAUGCAGUUCACAGACUAAACGGCGAUGGGCUUGGUGGCCUCCGUCGAGGUAAGCCGAGCUUAAGAUAUAGUCGGGCCCUCGGGAAACCGAGGGGGUAUUCGCAGAUGCUUUCACCGUUCCGUAGGUGAACCUGCAGAAGGAUCAA